AGUGAACGCUGGCGGUAGGCCUAACGCAUGCAAGUCGAACGGCAGCACAGUAAGAGCUUGCUCUUACGGGUGGCGAGUGGCGGACGGGUGAGGAAUACAUCGGAAUCUACUUUUUCGUGGGGGAUAACGUAGGGAAACUUACGCUAAUACCGCAUACGACCUACGGGUGAAAUCAGGGGAUCUUCGGACCUUGCGCGAGUGAAUGUGCGGAUGUCGGAUUAGCUAGUUGGCGGGGUAAAGGCCCACCAAGGCGACGAUCCGUAGCUGGUCUGAGAGGAUGAUCAGCCACACUGGAACUGAGACACGGUCCAGACUCCUACGGGAGGCAGCAGUGGGGAAUAUUGGACAAUGGGCGCAAGCCUGAUCCAGCCAUACCGCGUGGGUGAAGAAGGCCUUCGGGUUGUAAAGCCCUUUUGUUGGGAAAGAAAAGCAGCAGGUUAAUACCUCGCUGUUCUGACGGUACCAAAAGAAUAAGCACCGGCUAACUUCGUG
rnacentral:rRNA from 1 species